ACGCUGGCGGCGUGCCUAAUACAUGCAAGUAGAACGCUGAAGCUUGGUGCUUGCACCGAGCGGAUGAGUUGCGAACGGGUGAGUAACGCGUAGGUAACCUGCCUCUUAGCGGGGGAUAACUAUUGGAAACGAUAGCUAAUACCGCAUAAAAGUCGAUAUCGCAUGAUGUUGACUUGAAAGGUGCAAUUGCAUCACUAAGAGAUGGACCUGCGUUGUAUUAGCUAGUUGGUGAGGUAACGGCUCACCAAGGCGACGAUACAUAGCCGACCUGAGAGGGUGAUCGGCCACACUGGGACUGAGACACGGCCCAGACUCCUACGGGAGGCAGCAGUAGGGAAUCUUCGGCAAUGGGGGCAACCCUGACCGAGCAACGCCGCGUGAGUGAAGAAGGUUUUCGGAUCGUAAAGCUCUGUUGUAAGAGAAGAACGAGUGUGAGAGUGGAAAGUUCACACUGUGACGGUAACUUACCAGAAAGGGACGGCUAACUACGUGCCAGCAGCCGCGGUAAUACGUAGGUCCCGAGCGUUAUCCGGAUUUAUUGGGUGUAAAGCGAGCGCAGGCGGUUAGAUAAGUCUGAAGUUAAAGGCUGUGGCUUAACCAUAGUACGCUUUGGAAACUGUUUAACUUGAGUGCAGAAGGGGAGAGUGGAAUUCCAUGUGUAGCGGUGAAAUGCGUAGAUAUAUGGAGGAACACCGGUGGCGAAAGCGGCUCUCUGGUCUGUAACUGACGCUGAGGCUCGAAAGCGUGGGGAGCAAACAGGAUUAGAUACCCUGGUAGUCCACGCCGUAAACGAUGAGUGCUAGGUGUUGGGUCCUUUCCGGGACUCAGUGCCGCAGCUAACGCAUUAAGCACUCCGCCUGGGGAGUACGACCGCAAGGUUGAAACUCAAAGGAAUUGACGGGGGCCCGCACAAGCGG
rnacentral:rRNA from 1 species